rnacentral:misc_RNA from 1 species
GAUGAAGAACGUAGCGAAAUGCGAUACCUGGUGUGAAUUGCAGAAUCCCGCGAACCAUCGAGUCUUUGAACGCAAGUUGCGCCCGAGGCCACCCGGCCGAGGGCACGCCUGCCUGGGCGUCACGCCAAAACAAGCUCCCACCCCCCCUCACCGGGGGAGCGGGACGCGGCGUCUGGCCCCCCGUGCCGCGAGGCGCGGUGGGCCGAAGAUCGGGCUGCCGGCGUACCGUGCCGGGCACAGCGCGUGGUGGAUCUCUACUCGGCGCAGUGCACCCGGCGCGUAGCCGGCGCAGCGGCCCCUAAGGACCCAACGAACGGAGCGCGAGCCGCUCCGACCGCGACCCCAGGUCAGGCGGGACUACCCGCUGAGUUUAAGCAUAUCAAUAAGCGGAGGA